UGCCAGACUCCUACGGGAGGCAGCAGUGAGGGAUAUUGGUCAAUGGGGGAAACCCUGAACCAGCAACGCCGCGUGAGGGAAGACGGUUUUCGGAUUGUAAACCUCUGUCCUCUGUGAAGAUAAUGACGGUAGCAGAGGAGGAAGCUCCGGCUAACUACGUGCCAGCAGCCGCGGUAAUACGUAGGGGGCAAGCGUUAUCCGGAUUUACUGGGUGUAAAGGGAGCGUAGACGGCAAUACAGGUCGGAAGUGAAAUACCCGGGCUCAACCUGGGAACUGCUUUGGAAACUGUAUGGCUGGAGUGCUGGAGAGGUAAGCGGAAUUCCUAGUGUAGCGGUGAAAUGCGUAGAUAUUAGGAGGAACACCAGUGGCGAAGGCGGCUUACUGGACAGUAACUGACGUUGAGGCUCGAAAGCGUGGGGAGCAAACAGGAUUAGAUACCCUAGUAU
rnacentral:rRNA from 1 species